rnacentral:RNase_P_RNA from 1 species
UUGGUCGGGCAAUUGCUGCUUUACGCAGAGGAAAGUCCAUGCUCGCACGGAGCUGAGAUGCCCGUAGUGUUCGUGCUUCGCGAAAAAAUAAGCGAAGGCAGUCUGAGUGAUCAGACUGACGGCAGAGAGGAUACCUAAGUCUCUUGAUAUGGUAUGCAUCUCUUGAAAGUGCCACAGUGACGAAGUUCUGUCAGAAAUGACAGAAGUGGAACGAGGUAAACCCCGCGAGUGAGAAACUCAAACAAUGGUAGAGGCACUUUCCCGGAGGAAAUGAACGAAGGGGAAGGUCGGCAUUUUGCCGGCAGAUAGAUGAUUGCCGCUUGUCGUACGAGCUUAACAGGCGCUUGCAGUACGCUUGAACAAAACAUGGCUUACAGAC